rnacentral:rRNA from 1 species
CCCGGUGGUAGUCUUAACGGCCGCAGUUAAUAGCUGUGCUAAGGUAGCGUAAUAAGUUGUCCUUUAAAUGAGGAAAGGAAUGAAUGGUUUGACGUAAGAAUUUCUGUCUCUGUUGAAAUGAAUGAAAUUUUCUUCUUAGUGAAAAGUCUAAGAAAAAAUUAAAAGACGAGAAGACCCUUUUGAGCUUAACUUACUAGUUUAUUUUUGAAUUAGGAAAAUUUGGUUGGGGCAACUAAGGAGUAAAAAAAGCCUCCUUGUAGAAAUAUAGAUCCAAAAAUUUUGAAAAAAGAAAAAGCUACCAUAGGGAUAACAGCGUUAUCUUUUCUGAGAGAACAAAUUGAAGAAAAG